rnacentral:rRNA from 1 species
UUGGAGGGCAAGUCUGGUGCCAGCAGCCGCGGUAAUUCCAGCUCCAAUAGCGUAUAUUAAAGUUGUUGCAGUUAAAAAGCUCGUAGUUGAAUUUCGGGGUCAAUAAGCUGGUCGUGCCAAUGGUAUGCACUGGCUUUAUUGAUUCCUACCUCUUGACGAACUGUGAUGCCAUUAAUUUGGUGUUGCAGGAAAUCAGGACUGUUACCUUGAAAAAAUUAGAGUGUUUAAAGCAGGCUUACGCUUGAAUACAUUAGCAUGGAAUAAUGAAAUAGGACGUUUGAACCUAUUUUGUUGGUUUCUAGGAUCGACGUAAUGAUUAAUAGGGAUAGUUGGGGGCAUUAGUAUUCAAUUGUCAGAGGUGAAAUUCUUGGAUUUAUUGAAGACUAACUACUGCGAAAGCAUUUGCCAAGGAUGUUUUCAUUAAUCAAGAACGAAAGUUAGGGGAUCGAAGACGAUCAGAUACCGUCGUAGUCUUAACCAUAAACUAUGCCGACUAGGGAUCGGAUGAUGUUAAUUUUUUAAUGACUCAUUCGGCGCCUUACGGGAAACCAAAGUGUUUGGGUUC